rnacentral:rRNA from 1 species
UACGAAGGGGGCUAGCGUUGUUCGGAAUUACUGGGCGUAAAGCGCGCGCAGGCGGCUCCUCAAGUCAGGGGUGAAAGCCCAAGGCUCAACCUUGGAAUUGCCUUUGAAACUGUGGAGCUGGAGUACGGGAGAGGUGAGUGGAAUUCCCAGUGUAGAGGUGAAAUUCGUAGAUAUUGGGAAGAACACCGGUGGCGAAGGCGGCUCACUGGCCCGUUACUGACGCUCAGGCGCGACAGCGUGGGGAUCAAACAGG